rnacentral:rRNA from 1 species
UACUAGAGUAGCACUCGCAUAUCAAUAAGCGGAGGAAAAGAAACUAACAAGGAUUCCCCUAGUAUCGGCGAGUGAAGCGGGAAGAGCUCAAAUUUGAAAUCUUAAAGGGUUUCCCUUUACGAAUUGUAGUUUAAAGAAGUGUUUUCUGUUGAGGUUUUGGUAAAAGUUCUUUGGAAUAGGACAUCAUAGAGGGUGAGAAUCCCGUAUUUGACCUUUACUUUCAACUUUGUGAUACACUUUCAAAGAGUCGGAUUGUUUGGGAAUGCAGUCCAAAAUGGGUGGUAAAUUUCAUCUAAAGCUAAAUAUUGGCGAGAGACCGAUAGCGAACAAGUACCGUGAGGGAAAGAUGAAAAGAACUUUGAAAAGAGAGUUAAACAGUACGUGAAAUUGUCAAAAGGGGAGCGUUUGACACCAGUGUUGUUUUUCUGAAAAUCAAUUAAAGAACUGUUUAUGCUAAGCUGUUUAGACUUUAUCAGCUAUCUGUUUAGUUUUGAGCUUUUCUUUAAUGCACUUUUCAGUUAACAAGUCAACAUCAAUUUCUUUUGCUGUAAAAAAGCUUGAGGAAGGUGGCUUGAGAUUCGUCUUAAGUGUUUAUAGCCUCUUGCCUAUGCAGUCGGAGAGAUUGAGGUCUGCAGCGUAGAUCCUUCGGGGCUAAAUGCAUUUGUGCUAAGUUAUAGCAUUUUAUAGACAACUUGUUGACUAUGAUUUGUCUUGUAGCUUACUCGCUUAUGUUAUUUUACCUACGCUUAGGAUGUUGAGUCAUCACACAUCUCU